UACGUAGGUGGCAAGCGUUGUCCGGAAUUAUUGGGCGUAAAGCGCGCGCAGGCGGCCUUUUAAGUCUGAUGUGAAAGCCCACGGCUCAACCGUGGAAGGUCAUUGGAAACUGAAAGGCUUGAGUACAGAAGAGGAAAGCGGAAUUCCACGUGUAGCCGGUGAAAUGCGUAGAGAUGUGGAGGAACACCAGUGGCGAAGGCGGCUCUCUGGGACGGUACUGACGCUGAGACGCGAAAGCGUGGGGAGCGACAGGAUAGAAACCC
rnacentral:rRNA from 1 species